CCGGAACGGCCGGUGAGGAUCAUAAAGAUGCCUCCCGGAGCAUGAAGACCGGGAUCCCCUAGAACUCCCGGGUAAACAAAGAAGACCGGGAUCCCCCAGAACUCCCGGGAAAACAAAAAACCGCGGGAAGGGCCCUGAGGUCACCCCGGAACAACAACAGCCAGGAUCUCGUAAGAUCCCCUGAAAACAAAAAUGGUCGGUGAAGGGCUUAAAAGCCUCUCGAAAUGAAAAUUUUCCAUGCAGGGACAAACUCAUAAAAACACAGUUCCGACCUCAAAAAUGAAAGGAGCCCAGAGCUACCAAGACAAAAGCAGGUUCCGACCUCAUGACGAGGUUCGGGGCACAAUGGUUAAAAAAGUGCCGACCUCAAAACAGAUGCUAACGCUAAAAGUUUGGCUAUCGAGCAAAAGGCCGAGCUCCCAGCUCGGAUAGACUUGCAUCAUCAAAAACCCAAGGCAUGAAAGCCAAAACAAAAGGCCGAGCUCCCCCUCUCAAAAGGUUCAUAAACGAAGAAACUUGUUUAUCUGGAACAAACAUCCAAAUUCACAACCAAGAAGAAAGGGCUAAAAGCAAAAGGCAGACAUGCUAAUCGCCAUUAAAAGGUAUGAAAUUUGAUUUCUCAGACUAUUAGCUAAGAGCUGAGCCCGUAACUUAAGAUCAAUUCAAAGUUUGUGCAUACGUGGC
rnacentral:lncRNA from 1 species